GUGUCAGCAGCCGCGGUAAUACAGAGGGUGCAAACGUUGCUCGGAAUCAUUGGGCGUAAAGCGCACGUAGGCGGCCUAGCAAGUAGGGAGUGAAAGCCCUCGGCUUAACCGAGGAAGUGCUUUCUAAACUACUAGGCUUGAAUACUGGAGAGGGUCGCGGAAUUCCCGGUGUAGAGGUGAAAUUCGUAGAUAUCGGGAGGAACACCAGUGGCGAAGGCGGCGACCUGGACAGAUAUUGACGCUGAGGUGCGAAAGCGUGGGGAGCAAACAGGAUUAGAUACCCCCGUAGUCC
rnacentral:rRNA from 1 species